GCGCCCACCAUGGGCGUCAUGAUGGCCCUGGUGGCCGUGCUGCAGAGCGCCGGCAACGCCAUCCGCGCCAUCUGCUCCGGUACGGGGGCGGCAGGGGCGCGGGGUGGGGGGGCCCGUCUCAUAUCUGCCCCAAAAUGGCCCCGUUUCCAUGAGGUGGUCCUCAAAGAUGGCUGCGUUGCCCCAAAAUGGCACUGUUUCCAUGAGGUGUUGCCCUAAAAUGGCCCCGUUUCUGUGAGGGGUUCCUCCAAGAUGGCCGCCUUCCUCCAAGAUGGCCGCGUUGCCCCAAAACGGCCCCAUUUCCCCCCAAAACAGCCACUUUUUCACCACCAUGAGCCCCAAACCCCAAACACCCAUAUUUUGUCACCCGGAAGCCCAAACCCUCCCCAGAAACACCCGUAUUUUGUCACCCGGAAGCCCAAAUCCGAACCCAAACAUCAACGUUUUGGUCCCAUGAAUACCAAACAACCGCGUUUUGUCACCGGGACCCCCAGACCCUCCCCAAAACGCCUGUAUUUUGUCACCUGGAACCCCAAACUGUCUCCAAAACACCCAUAUUUUGUCACCGGGAACCCCAGACCAUCGCGCAAAACCCCCAUGUUUUGUCACCCGGAACCCCAAACUGUCCCCAGAAACACCUGUAUCUUGUCACCGGGAACCCCAAACCCUCCCCAAAACACCCGUAUCUCGUCACCAGGAACCCCAGACCCUCCAAAACACCCAUAUUUUGUCACCCAGAAUCCCAAACCCUCCCCAAAGCACCUGUAUUUUGUCAUCGGGAACCCCAGACCCUCCCCAAAACACCCGUAUUUGGUCACCUGGAAUCCCAAACCCUCCCCAGAAACACCCGUAUCUCGUCACUGUGAACCCCAAACCCUCCCCCAAAACACCUGUAUUUUGUCACCGUGAACCCCAAAUCCUCCCCAGAAACACUCAUAUUUCGGUACCACAAAUCCAAAACCCUCCCAGAAACACCUGUAUUUCGUCACCGUGAAACCUAGACUCUCCCCAAAACACCCGUACCUCGUCACCAGGAACCCCAGACCCUCCAAAACACCUGUAUUUUGUCACCGUGAACCACAAAUCCUCCCCCAAAACACUUGUAAUUUGUCACCCGGAAUCCCAAACGCUCCCUAGAAACACCCAUAUUUUGGUACCGUGAAUCCCAAACCUUCCCCCAAACCACCUUUUUUUUGUCACCGUGAACCCCAGACCCUCCCCAAAACACCCGUAUCUCGUCACCGGGGACCCCAAACCCUCCCCAAAACACCCAUACCUUGUCACCAGGAACCCCAGACCCUCCAGAACAUCCAUAUUUUGUCACCCGGAACCCCAGAUCCUCCCCAGAAACACCUGUAUCUUGUCACCGGGGACCCCAAACCCUCCCCAAAACACCCAUAUUUUGUCACCCGGAAUCCCAAACCCUCCCCAGAAACACCUGUAUUUCAUCACCGUGAACCACAAACCCUCCCCCAAAACACUUGUAAUUUGUCACCCGGAAUCCCAAACCCUCCCCAGAAACACCUGUAUUUCGUCACCGGGAACCCCAACCCCUCCCCAGAAACACCCGUAUUUUUGUCACCGCGAACCCUAGAUUCUCCCCGAAACACCCGUACCU
rnacentral:lncRNA from 1 species